rnacentral:rRNA from 1 species
UGAGGAAUAUUGGACAAUGGAGGCAACUCUGAUCCAGCCAUGCCGCGUGAAGGACUAAGGCCCUAUGGGUCGUAAACUUCUUUUGACGCAGGGCAAUAAGGACUACGUGUAGUCUGAUGAGAGUAUGCGUCGAAUAAGCAUCGGCUAACUCCGUGCCAGCAGCCGCGGUAAUACGGAGGAUGCAAGCGUUAUCCGGAUUUAUUGGGUUUAAAGGGUGCGUAGGCGGAUGGGUAAGUCAGCGGUGAAAGUUUGUGGCUCAACCAUAAAAUUGCCGUUGAAACUGGAGGGCUUGAGUAUGUUUGGGGCAGGCGGAAUGUGUGGUGUAGCGGUGAAAUGCAUAGAUAUCACGCAGAACUCCGAUCGCGAAGGCAGCUUGCCAAGCC